AGGUACAGUGGGCACACUGUCCAGGUGAGAUUAGUGGUGGCUGGGCUCAGACAGGGUGUGUGCAGGUAGAGUGGGCACACUGUCCAGGUGAGAUUAGUGGUGUCUGGGCUCAGACAGGGUGUGUGCAGGUAGUGUGGGCACACUGUCCAGGUGAG